GAUGAACGCUGGCGGCGUGCUUAACACAUGCAAGUCGAACGGAAAGGCUCCUGCUUGCAGGGGUACUCGAGUGGCGAACGGGUGAGUAACACGUGGGUGAUCUGCCCUGCACUUCGGGAUAAGCCUGGGAAACUGGGUCUAAUACCGGAUAGGACCACAUUUUGGAUGGUGUGGUGGAGAGUUUUUCGGUGUGGGAUGAGCUCGCGGCCUAUCAGCUUGUUGGUGGGGUAAUGGCCUACCAAGGCGUCGACGGGUAGCCGGCCUGAGAGGGUGUACGGCCAAAUUGGGACUGAGAUACGGCCAGAACUCCUACGGGAGGCAGCAGGGGGGAAUAUGGCACAAUGGGGGCAGGCCUGAUGCAGAGACGCCGCGUGGGGGAUGACGGCCUUCGGGUUGUAAACUCCUUUCGCUAGGGACGAAGCGCAAGUGACGGUACCUGGAGAAGAAGCACCGGCUAACUACGUG
rnacentral:rRNA from 1 species